AACGAACGCUGGCGGCAGGCUUAACACAUGCAAGUCGAACGCAUCCUUCGGGGUGAGUGGCAGACGGGUGAGUAACGCGUGGGAACGUGCCCUUCAGUUCGGGAUAACCCAGGGAAACUUGGGCUAAUACCGGAUACGUGCGAGAGCAGAAAGAUUUAUCGCUGAAGGAUCGGCCCGCGUCUGAUUAGCCAGUUGGUGGGGUAAUGGCCCACCAAGGCGACGAUCAGUAGCUGGUCUGAGAGGAUGAUCAGCCACAUUGGGACUAAGACACGGCCCAAACUCCUACGGGGGGAAGCAGUGGUGAAGAUUGGACAAGGGGCGCAAGCCUGAUCCGGCCAUGCCGCGGGAGUGAUGAAGGGCUUAGGGUUGUAAAGCUCUUUCGUCCGGGACGAUAAUGACGGUACCGGAAGGAGAAGCCCCGGCUAACUUCGUGCCAGCAGCCGCGGUAA
rnacentral:rRNA from 1 species